rnacentral:rRNA from 1 species
GACGGAGGGUGCUAGCGUUGUUCGGGAUCACUGGGCGUAAAGGGCGCGUAGGCGGCCCAUGCCGUCGGCUCGUGAAAGCCCGGGGCUCAACCCCGGAGGUGCGGCCGAGACCCAUGGGCUGGAGGCCGGAAGAGGAGGGUGGAAUACCCAGUGUAGAGGUGAAAUUCGUAGAUAAUGGGUGGAACACCGGUGGCGAAAGCGGCUCUCUGGUCCGGUUCUGACGCUGAGGCGCGAAAGCGUGGGGUGCAAACAGG